UUAGUGGCGAACGGGUGAGUAACACGUGAGUAACCUGCCCUUAACUCUGGGAUAAGCCUGGGAAACUGGGUCUAAUACCGGAUAGGAGCGUCCACCGCAUGGUGGGUGUUGGAAAGAUUUAUCGGUUUUGGAUGGACUCGCGGCCUAUCAGCUUGUUGGUGAGGUAAUGGCUCACCAAGGCGACGACGGGUAGCCGGCCUGAGAGGGUGACCGGCCACACUGGGACUGAGACACGGCCCAGACUCCUACGGGAGGCAGCAGUGGGGAAUAUUGCACAAUGGGCGCAAGCCUGAUGCAGCGACGCCGCGUGAGGGAUGACGGCCUUCGGGUUGUAAACCUCUUUCAGUAGGGAAGAAGCGAAAGUGACGGUACCUGCAGAAGAAGCACCGGCUAACUACGUGCCAGCAGCCGCGGUAAUACGUAGGGUGCGAGCGUUAUCCGGAAUUAUUGGGCGUAAAGAGCUCGUAGGCGGUUUGUCGCGUCUGUCGUGAAAGUCCGGGGCUUAACCCCGGAUCUGCGGUGGGUACGGGCAGACUAGAGUGCAGUAGGGGAGACUGGAAUUCCUGGUGUAGCGGUGGAAUGCGCAGAUAUCAGGAGGAAC
rnacentral:rRNA from 1 species